rnacentral:rRNA from 1 species
AACGAACGCUGGCGGCAUGCCUAACACAUGCAAGUCGAACGAAAAGGUCGGGUCUAGGGGCGCACGGGUGCGUAAGGCGACGGAACCUGCCCUUGGGGUUGGAAUAACUCCUAGAAAGGGAUGCUAAUGGGGGAUAGUGUCUUAUGCCGAAAGAGUUAUCGCCUUUGGGUGGGCCCGCGUUGGAUUAGCUAGUUUGUAGGGUAAUAGCCUCCCAAGGCGACGAUUCGUAGCUGGUCUGAGAGGAUGAUCAGCCACACUGGGACUGAGACACGGCCCAGACGCCUACGGGAGGCAGCAGUGGGGAAUAUUGGACAAUGGGCGAAAGCCUGAUCCUGCCAUGCCGCGUGAGUUAUGCAGGCCUCAGGGUUGUAAAGCUCUUUUACCCGGGAUGAUAAUGACAGUACCGGGUGAAUAAGCACCGGCUAACUCCGUG